rnacentral:rRNA from 1 species
UACAGAGGAGCCAAGCGUUGUCCGGAUUGACUGGGCGUAAAGCGCACGCAGGCGGGGGUGCGCGUGGGGUGUGAAAUCUGGCCGCUUAACGGCCAGGCGCCAUCCCAUACGGCACGCCUGGAGCCUUGCAGAGGUCGGUGGAAUUGCCGGUGUAGUGGUGAAAUGCGUAGAGAUCGGCAGGAACACCCAGGGGGAAACCAGCCGACUGGGCAAGUGCUGACGCUGAGGUGCGAGAGCGUGGGGAGCGAACCGGG